AGAGUUUGAUCAUGGCUCAGAAUGAACGCUGGCGGCGUGCUUAACACAUGCAAGUCGAGCGAGGCGGAAGGGGGCAACUCCUUCCAGUCGAGCGGCGGACGGGUGAGUAACACGUGGGUAACCUGCCCGGAAGUGGGGAAUACCUCGGGGAAACUCGAGCUAAUACCGCAUGACAUCUUCGGGACGAAAGUCCUGACGAUCAAAGCGGGGUCGCAAGAUCUCGCGCUACCGGAUGGGCCCGCGCCCGAUUAGCUAGUUGGUGAGGUAACGGCUCACCAAGGCUUCGAUCGGUAACCGGCCUGAGAGGGCGAUCGGUCACACCGGAACUGAGACACGGUCCGGACUCCUACGGGAGGCAGCAGUGGGGAAUCUUGCGCAAUGGGCGAAAGCCUGACGCAGCAACGCCGCGUGGAGGAUGAAGGCCCUUGGGUUGUAAACUCCUGUCGGCUGGGAAGAAAUCGUUCGGGGCUCAUACCCCCGGACGUUGACUGUACCAGCAAAGGAAGCCCCGGCUAACUCUGUGCCAGCAGCCGCGGUAAUACAGAGGGGGCCAGCGUUAUUCGGAAUUAUUGGGCGUAAAGGGCGCGUAGGCGGCCAUGCGUGUCUUCCGUGAAAUCCCUCGGCUUAACUGAGGACGUGCGGAAGAAACUGCAAGGCUCGAGUCCGGGAGAGGGGGGUGGAAUUCCCAGUGUAGCGGUGA
rnacentral:rRNA from 1 species